rnacentral:misc_RNA from 1 species
GAUGAAGAACGUAGCGAAAUGCGAUAAGUAAUGUGAAUUGCAGAAUUCAGUGAAUCAUCGAAUCUUUGAACGCACAUUGCGCCCGCCAGUAUUCUGGCGGGCAUGCCUGUUCGAGCGUCAUUACAACCCUCAGGCCCCCGGGCCUGGCGUUGGGAUCGGCGGAAGCCCCCUGCGGGCACAACGCCGUCCCCCAAAUACAGUGGCGGUCCCGCCGCAGCUUCCAUUGCGUAGUAGCUAACACCUCGCAACUGGAGAGCGGCGCGGCCACGCCGUAAACCACCCAACUUCUGAAUGUUGACCUCGAAUCAGGUAGGAAUACCCGCUGAACUUAAGCAUAUCAAUAAGCGGAGGA